rnacentral:rRNA from 1 species
GACGGAGGGGGCAAGCGUUGUUCGGAAUUAUUGGGCGUAAAGGGCUCGUAGGCGGAUCCGCCAGUCUGACGUGAAAUCUCCACCGCUCACCGGGGAGGGGCCGUUGGAUACUACGGAUCUGGAGUUCGGCAGAGGACCAUGGAAUUUCGGGUGUAGCGGUGGAAUGCGUAGAUAUCAGGAGGAACACCGGUGGUGUAGACGGCUUUCUGGACCGUAACUGACGCUGAGACACGAAAGCGUGGGUAGCAAACAGG